CCUACGGGUGGCAGCAGUGAGGAAUAUUGGUCAAUGGGCGCGAGCCUGAACCAGCCACGUAGCGUGAAGGAUGACUGCACUACGGGUUUUAAACUUCUUUUAUAAAGGAAUAAAGUGAGGCACGUGUGCCUUUUUGUAUGUCCUUUAUGAAUAAGGAUCGGCGAACUCCGUGCCAGCAGCCGCGGUAAUACGGAGGAUCCGAGCGUUAUCCGGAUUUAUUGGGUGUAAGGGGAGCGUAGAUGGGUUGUUAAGUCAGUUGUGAAAGUUUGCGGCUCAACCGUAAAAUUGCAAUUGAUACGGGAAGCCUGGAGUACAGUUGAGGUAGGCGGAAUUCGUGGGGUAGCGGUGAAAUGCUUAGAUAGCACGAAGAACUCCGAUUGCGAAGGCAGCUUACUAAACUGCCACUGACAUUGAUGCUCGAAAGUGUGGGUAGCAAACAGGAUUAGAUACCCCUGUAGUC
rnacentral:rRNA from 1 species